rnacentral:rRNA from 1 species
AGUCUAAUCUGCCCACUGAAAUAAAUUUAAAGGGCUGCAGUAUAUUGACUGUACAAAGGUAGCAUAAUCAUUAGUCUUUUAAUUGAAGACUUGUAUAAAUGAUUGGAUGAAAUAUAAUCUGUCUCUAUUUAAAAAAUGAAAUUUAAUUUUUUAGUUAAAAAGCUAAAUUAAAAUUAAAAGACGAGAAGACCCUAUAGAGUUUAAUAUUUUAAAAAUUAUUAUUAAAAUAAAGAAAAAUUAACACUAAAAUUUUUAAAAUAUUUUAUUGGGGUGAUAGAAAAAUAAAAGAAACUUUUUUUAAAUAAUAAACAUAAAUAAAUGAAAUUAUGAUCCAUAAUUUAUGAUUAUAAGAAAAAAUUACCUUAGGGAUAACAGCGUAAUUUUUUUUUUUAGUUCAAAUAAAAAAAAAAGUUUGCGACCUCGAUGUUGGAUUAAGAUAAAAUUUAAAUGCAAAAGUUUAAAAUUUUGAUCUGUUCGAUCAUUAAAAUCUU